GGGUUGUGAGGUUAAGCGACUAAGCGUACACGGUGGAUGCCCUGGCAGUCAGAGGCGAUGAAGGACGUGCUAAUCUGCGAUAAGCGUCGGUAAGGUGAUAUGAACCGUUAUAACCGGCGAUUUCCGAAUGGGGAAACCCAGUGUGUUUCGACACACUAUCAUUAACUGAAUCCAUAGGUUAAUGAGGCGAACCGGGGGAACUGAAACAUCUAAGUACCCCGAGGAAAAAAUCAACCGAGAUUCCCCAGUAGCGGCGAGCGAACGGGGAGCAGCCCAGAGCCUGAAUCAGUGUGUGUGUUAGUGGAAGCGUCUGGAAAGGCGCGCGAUACAGGGUGACAGCCCCGUACACAAAAAUGCACAUGCUGUGAGCUCGAUGAGUAGGGCGGGACACGUGGUAUCCUGUCUGAAUAUGGGGGACCAUCCUCCAAGGCUAAAUACUCCUGACUGACCGAUAGUGAACCAGUACCGUGAGGGAAAGGCGAAAAGAACCCCGGCGAGGGGAGUGAAAAAGAACCUGAAACCGUGUACGUACAAGCAGUGGGAGCACGCUUAGGCGUGUGACUGCGUACCUUUUGUAUAAUGGGUCAGCGACUUAUAUUCUGUAGCAAGGUUAACCGAAUAGGGGAGCCGAAGGGAAACCGAGUCUUAACUGGGCGUUAAGUUGCAGGGUAUAGACCCGAAACCCGGUGAUCUAGCCAUGGGCAGGUUGAAGGUUGGGUAACACUAACUGGAGGACCGAACCGACUAAUGUUGAAAAAUUAGCGGAUGACUUGUGGCUGGGGGUGAAAGGCCAAUCAAACCGGGAGAUAGCUGGUUCUCCCCGAAAGCUAUUUAGGUAGCGCCUCGUGAAUUCAUCUCCGGGGGUAGAGCACUGUUUCGGCAAGGGGGUCAUCCCGACUUACCAACCCGAUGCAAACUGCGAAUACCGGAGAAUGUUAUCACGGGAGACACACGGCGGGUGCUAACGUCCGUCGUGAAGAGGGAAACAACCCAGACCGCCAGCUAAGGUCCCAAAGUCAUGGUUAAGUGGGAAACGAUGUGGGAAGGCCCAGACAGCCAGGAUGUUGGCUUAGAAGCAGCCAUCAUUUAAAGAAAGCGUAAUAGCUCACUGGUCGAGUCGGCCUGCGCGGAAGAUGUAACGGGGCUAAACCAUGCACCGAAGCUGCGGCAGCGACACUAUGUGUUGUUGGGUAGGGGAGCGUUCUGUAAGCCUGUGAAGGUGUGCUGUGAGGCAUGCUGGAGGUAUCAGAAGUGCGAAUGCUGACAUAAGUAACGAUAAAGCGGGUGAAAAGCCCGCUCGCCGGAAGACCAAGGGUUCCUGUCCAACGUUAAUCGGGGCAGGGUGAGUCGACCCCUAAGGCGAGGCCGAAAGGCGUAGUCGAUGGGAAACAGGUUAAUAUUCCUGUACUUGGUGUUACUGCGAAGGGGGGACGGAGAAGGCUAUGUUGGCCGGGCGACGGUUGUCCCGGUUUAAGCGUGUAGGCUGGUUUUCCAGGCAAAUCCGGAAAAUCAAGGCUGAGGCGUGAUGACGAGGCACUACGGUGCUGAAGCAACAAAUGCCCUGCUUCCGGAAAAAAAGCCUCUAAGCAUCAGGUAACAUCAAAUCGUACCCCAAACCGACACAGGUGGUCAGGUAGAGAAUACCAAGGCGCUUGAGAGAACUCGGGUGAAGGAACUAGGCAAAAUGGUGCCGUAACUUCGGGAGAAGGCACGCUGAUAUGUAGGUGAAGUCCCUCGCGGAUGGAGCUGAAAUCAGUCGAAGAUACCAGCUGGCUGCAACUGUUUAUUAAAAACACAGCACUGUGCAAACACGAAAGUGGACGUAUACGGUGUGACGCCUGCCCGGUGCCGGAAGGUUAAUUGAUGGGGUUAGCCGCAAGGCGAAGCUCUUGAUCGAAGCCCCGGUAAACGGCGGCCGUAACUAUAACGGUCCUAAGGUAGCGAAAUUCCUUGUCGGGUAAGUUCCGACCUGCACGAAUGGCGUAAUGAUGGCGGGCUGUCUCCACCCGAGACUCAGUGAAAUUGAACUCGCUGUGAAGAUGCAGUGUACCCGCGGCAAGACGGAAAGACCCCGUGAACCUUUACUAUAGCUUGACACUGAACAUUGAGCCUUGAUGUGUAGGAUAGGUGGGAGGCUUAGAAGUGUGGACGCCAGUCUGCAUGGAGCCGACCUUGAAAUACCACCCUUUAAUGUUUGAUGUUCUAACGUUGACCCGUAAUCCGGGUUGCGGACAGUGUCUGGUGGGUAGUUUGACUGGGGCGGUCUCCUCCUAAAGAGUAACGGAGGAGCACGAAGGUUGGCUAAUCCCGGUCGGACAUCAGGAGGUUAGUGCAAUGGCAUAAGCCAGCUUGACUGCGAGCGUGACGGCGCGAGCAGGUGCGAAAGCAGGUCAUAGUGAUCCGGUGGUUCUGAAUGGAAGGGCCAUCGCUCAACGGAUAAAAGGUACUCCGGGGAUAACAGGCUGAUACCGCCCAAGAGUUCAUAUCGACGGCGGUGUUUGGCACCUCGAUGUCGGCUCAUCACAUCCUGGGGCUGAAGUAGGUCCCAAGGGUAUGGCUGUGCCAUUUAAAGUGGUACGCGAGCUGGGUUUAGAACGUCGUGAGACAGUUCGGUCCCUAUCUGCCGUGGGCGCUGGAGAACUGAGGGGGCUGCUCCUAGUACGAGAGGACCGGAGUGGACGCAUCACUGGUGUUCGGGUUGUCAUGCCAAUGGCACUGCCCGGUAGCUAAAUGCGGAAGAGAUAAGUGCUGAAAGCAUCUAAGCACGAAACUUGCCCCGAGAUGAGUUCUCCCUGACUCCUUGAGAGUCCUGAAGGAACGUUGAAGACGACGACGUUGAUAGGCCGGGUGUGUAAGCGCAGCGAUGCGUUGAGCUAACCGGUACUAAUGAACCGUGAGGCUUAACCUUACAACGCCGAAGGUGUUU
rnacentral:rRNA from 1 species